rnacentral:snoRNA from 1 species
CUCCAUCUAUCUCUGGGGCCUGUCAGCUCUGGCAGUCUCCCUUCCUAGCCAUGAAAAAGCAUAAUCUUUCUUUAAUUU